CCCCGGAAUAUCGAAGCGCUCAACAGAUACCGUUUAAAAAAAAAAAAAGAAAAACAAUCGGCGCCUCUCGGAAGGCCCGGGUCCCCAGUCUCCAGCCCGCGUCCCACCGCUCUGGGGCUCUGGUUCCAUUUGCUCUUGGCAGACGGCAUCUUCCUGCCCGGGAGAGGAAGGAAAAGGCUUUCGCAGGCUCAGGCAAAGGCAUCUCAGCCAUCGAACCGCUCCCGCAAACGGCGGGGGACGAGGUGACCGGAGCAGACGGGACCGGAAGACGAGCCGGGCUGUAAGUCUCACUGCCUGGUGAAAUGCAAAGUGUAACGGGCGCAGAAAUAAACGGGGCAUUCGAA